GACGAACGCUGGCGGCGUGCUUAACACAUGCAAGUCGAACGGAAAGGCCCGGCUUUUGUGGGGUGCUCGAGUGGCGAACGGGUGAGUAACACGUGAGUAACCUGCCCUUGACUUUGUGAUAACUUCAGGAAACUGGGGCGAAUACCGGAUAGGAGCUCCUGCUGCAUGGUGGGGGAUGGAAAGUUUCGGCGGUUGGGGAUGGACUCGCGGCUUAUCAGCUUGUUGGUGAGGUAGUGGCUUACCAAGGCUUUGACGGGUAGCCGGCCUGAGAGGGUGACCGGCCACAUUGGGACUGAGAUACGGACCAGUAUCCUACGGGAGGCAGCAGUGGGGAAUAUUGCACAAUGGGCGGAAGCCUGAUGCAGCAACGCCGCGUGCGGGAUGAUGGCCUUCGGGUUGUAAACCGCUUUCGCCUGUGACGAAGAGUGAGUGACGGUAAUGGGUAAAGAAGCCACGGCUAACUACGUG
rnacentral:rRNA from 1 species